rnacentral:lncRNA from 1 species
ACAGAACACCCAUACAUUGGCGUCACUACUUUUAACUGCGCUUGCGCAGCUUGCCGUCAGCGCCGCUGCGAACUGCUGCCGCUGCUGCCUGCAUCCUGCGCAUCACCGGCCUCACCUCAACCACCUUGAAACGUUUUUCGGCGCCCGUGCGUUACCCUGUGGACUUUGAUAUCGAUUGCGUAGACGCAAGGACUGAAGAUGAACAGUGCUCUACGAAAGGCCACCACCGUUUUUCGAAGCGCUGUAAUGCAGACCCGUUCAGCGGCGUACUCGGCCUCGCUGCCGAAAGGCAUAAAAAUGUCGACGGCCGAGAAGGCUGUUCACAUCUCUGUGAUCGUAAGCGCCAUUUUCGCUUACCCAGCUUGGGUUCUUGUUCAUCUCAGGGAGUACAGAGGAAUCAAGGAUUAACUUGCCAAGACUCGUACAAGCUUGGCGUCCACUGUCGCGACCUGGACAUGAGUCGCCGCACGAAGCAUUAGUUAACAGAAGACAAUAAAAUAUAUUUGAAAUUUGAAUGCACAUGCA